rnacentral:RNase_P_RNA from 1 species
AGCAGGCCGAACGACCGCGGGCACAAGGCGAAAGCCUGUGCGUGAGGAAAGUCCGGGCUCCGCAGGGCAAGGAUAACGGGUAACGCCCGCCAGGGGUGACCCUCGGACAAGUGCAACAGAGAUAUACCGCUCCGGCUUGCCGGAGUAAGGGUGGAAAAGUGAGGUAAGAGCUCACUCAUCGCAUGGAGACAUGUUGAUGCUGUAAACUCUAUCCGGAGCAACACCGUGGGAGAACAUAUGGCCGGCCCGGCCGUUCUCAGGAGGUGGCUUGAUGCCGCUGGCAACGGCGGCACUAGAUAGAUGGUCGUUUAAGACAGAACCCGGCUUACAGACCUGCUCAA